GAUGCAUCACUCUUAACAUUUACGUCUUACGUUUUUCGGAUGCCACGAACUAUAAUCGCUACAUUAUUCAAAAUUAUUAUUAAUGCUCAUCAGGUGAUCCAUGAACGUGUCUGAAUUCAUCGUUUGUGCUUGCCUUUACCGUGUCGCGUAUAUAAUUCGGGCAAAAUUUUACUUUAGAGUCAGUGUCAAAUUAUUAGUUCUGGAAGAACCAUACAGCCGAAGAAGUAGUAACACUUUCACUUGAUUCCUCAAAAUGGAUAAGAAACAAGCUGGCAAACCAAAUCAAACCAACGCAGGUCCUAAACCAAAUGCCGGCCCGGGUGGUAAUGCACCAAAGUCAGACCAUCAAUCUACUCCAGCUAAUCCGAACAAUACCAGAAAUGUUGGCGCUAAAAAAUAAAGGUUGUCGCUCGCUGAACAAAGUGUUCAUCACUUCAUCAUCAUUUUAUAAAUAUAUAAAAUUGAAAACCAAUAAAAUGAUUGAAACAUAA